rnacentral:tRNA from 1 species
UGCAAUGUAGCUCAGUUGGUUAGAGCCUUGGUGCGGUGGUUCAAGUCCACCCAUUGCAU